ACAGCAAUAUUGUACAAUGUAUUUAAGUACCAUUGUAUUUAAAUAUAUAGUUAAAGUACAUAGACUACAUUGUUACAGUACAUAAGCACGUGGUUAUGUACUUAAUAACUACCCAGCUUAUUUUUAAGUAUUUAUCAAACAUAGUUAGCAAAAUGAUUUCUUUAAAUUUGAAUCAAAUCGAAUUUCUUAUAAAUUGUUGUUCAUUCAAAUUAUGCUAAAAAGUUGUAAAGAUUUUGUUUCGAAACAAAAAGAUUAAAUCACGAGAAGUGGUUAAAAAGAACUCAGAAAGAAUGAAUCGCUAGAAGAAGUGAGAAUUAAGAGAUUCGAAAAAGGUUGAAUCACGGGAAGAAGUUGUUUUGAGAAGAUAUACCAAUUAAUUCUUUUUUGAAGAACAAAAAGCUAUCAUUAAUUUAUCAUUAAAAUCAUGGAUAAAAUACUUAGAUAUUAUUAGAAAAAGAACACCUGCUAGUGCCAGCACUAUGUUGAGUUCAAGUGAUUUUUUAAAAAAAGCAUGCCCUAGCUUGUGAACAAAAAGUUUGCUGCUUGUCUUAUAAGGAUGACGAUGAAUGCAAAUUAAGCGACAAAGAAUACAGAAAGGAAAAAUAACUUAAUUGAAAUUUUUAGAAUUUUUGAGAAUGUGGCAUGUAUCUUAUUUUAAACUGGCUGCAUCCAUUCAGAUAUAAGAAUAAUGUUCUGGACAGAUAAUUAUGACAGACGAGAUGCUAUCAACGUUGCUCUCAAUGGCGGUGAAAAAAUUUGUAUCAAACUAGAUUCAAUGCAUCUAAAAACUGAUGGAGAACAAUGAGGUCUUUUAUAGCCAAAUACGGAUAUUGAUGGCGUGGCCUACUAUAAUUAAUUAUUGUAGGCCAUGUUGAUGGAUACCCAGAUAGAAAGCACCUUUUGUAUAAAACUGUAUCUGGACUGUCAGAAAUAUUUUAACGUGAAAUAUCAUCCACCCAACAAU